GGGGCGGAGCCUCGGAGCCUGGCGCCCCGCGGCCCCGCCCCCGGGCUCCUUGCUCACCCCGGUGGCCCCGCGGCCCCCAGGCGACGGCUGGCACCCCUUAUUUUAGCUGCUGUUAGGAUUGUUCCCCUCCAGCCACCUAAUUCUAUGGAGGCUCGGAGAAUCUGGGUUAGCCGAGCCCCAGUGCAUGCACCCGGCUGGCCGACUGUCCCGCGCUGUUCGCCCCGCUCCGCUUCUGUCUCCCUUAAGAAGGCAGUUGACAUUCAUCGAAGGCUCACUGCGUGGUAGAUAAGUGUAUUAUGCGCCUCGGCCGCGUUAACUGUUUUAAUAACCUUCAGACUCCGGGAAACGGGUGCUCUUCCCUCCAUCUUACAGAGAAGGAAACCGGCCAGAUUUAUUUAUGUAUAUGAAUGCUUUGUCUGUGCCCACAGAAGUUAGAAGAGGGGAACGGGAUCCCCGGAAACUGGGCGUGUUGAUGGUCGGGAGCCACCACACAAUUGGACGCAAACUACCACGCUACAUGAUUGACACUGGAAGCUGUAUCCGGCGUCAAAUUGCGCUGGGGUGGGAAAACGGAAGAUGAUGAGAGAGCAUUUGAGCAAAAGUGUCACCUUGACACAAAUGUAGCAAAACCUCACAAAUAACCUCAAAGGAAAUGGGCAUCAAUUUUUUAAACCAUAGUUUGCAUUUUAUUUUUAAUUAGAUAUUAAGAAAAAGUAUUAGAACUUACUCUGUUCUUUAAAGGGGUUAAAUUGAUUGACACUCUUGUUACCAGGACUGAGUUAUUUAAAUGAGUGUGAAGAAUGAAGGAGUUACAUUCCACCCCCACUCUAUUAUUAUUAUUAUUAUUAUUAUUAUUAUUAUUAUUAUUAUAAUCAAAGUGGUGGCCCAGGGACCAGCAAAAUGACUCAGUGGGAAAGUGUGCUUGACUAGUGACCUGUGGUUGAUAACUGGAACCCACAUGGUGUGUGGGUUAUCCUCUCUGUCUCUCUC